CCUAGAGUGGCACUGUGGUUUGAGCAUUGGACUACAACUCCAAAGAUCAGGGUUCAACUCCCUGCUUGACCA